GACGAACGCUGGCGGCGUGCUUAACACAUGCAAGUCGAACGGAAAGGCCCUGCUUUUGUGGGUUUCUCGAUCGGCGAACGGGUGAGUAACACGUGAGUAACCUGCCCUUGACUUUGUGAUAACUUCGGGAAACUGGGGCUAAUACCGGAUAUGAGCUCCUGCUGCAUGGUGGGGGUUGGAAAGUUUCGGCGGUUGGGGAUGGACUCGCGGCUUAUCAGCUUGUUGGUGUGGUAGUGGCUUACCAAGGCUUUGACGGGUAGCCGGCCUGAGAGGGUGACCGGCCACAUUGGGACUGAGAUACGGCCCAGAAUCCUACGGGAGGCAGCAGUGGGGAAUAUUGCACAAUGGGCGGAAGCCUGAUGCAGCAACGCCGCGUGCGGGAUGACGGCCUUCGGGUUGUAAACCGCUUUCGCCUGUGACGAAGCGAGAGUGACGGUAAUGGGUAAAGAAGCACCGGCUAACUACGUG
rnacentral:rRNA from 1 species